AGACUUUGUAAUGCAAUAGAGUAUGAAGGAAGUCCAGUCACAUUGUGCCAACAGACAGCUGGAGCUCAGGCUGGGGAGAACCAGGAUGGUAACCAGGACAAUAAAAAUGAACCAGCAAUGGGGACUCCUGUCUCAGUCAGGAAGCUGCCUGAACUCUACUAGGCCCUGGGAAUAUAACAGUGAAUGAGAUAGGGAUGGUCUCUCUCUUCAUAGAGUUUAUAGACUCGUGGACUUCUAGAAUAAUGCUCCAUACUUUUAAUUUCAGUAAGGUCCACAGGCCUGUGCCUUAAGAAGAAUCGUGCAUUUGAAGAUAGAAUUGAACUGAAACUGGGCUUAGAGCAACUAGACAUACUCAAAACCAAUUUCCAACAGUUAAUUAUUUUAAGUGGUUUCCCCGUUAGUUAAAAGGGAGAGGAGAUAACAGGAAGGAAAGAAAUAUUGAUAAAUUUCUAAGUUGGACUAGGUUUGGUAAGUAUAAAAAAUGAAGUGUAGUUAAUAAAGCACAAAGCAGAAGAUUUCCUCUUAACUCAUAGUUAUUAUACAUCAUCAUUAGAGAGGGGACUUGCUGCUCCCUAUAUUAGAUUAAUAGCUUGGACAUUCAUUUCUUUGACCUCAGCUGAAGUAGAAGCACCAGGCAACAGAAGCAGAAAAUGGAGUAAAAAGAAGUACUAUCUAGUAUUUCAUCUGGGCAGGGAAAUUAAAAAGAGGAAACACUUAAAUUGUAGAGGGGAAUGUGAAAGGAAAGGAUGGUACUCUUUUCUUUCCCUUGACAGUCCUACCCUUUGAGAACCAGCUGGCAGCUCCUGGGUCACUAAGCUUAGUCAUUCCUCUUUUCAAUUACAGGAACAUUCUAUUAACAAGAAGAUGGAGUGAGGAGAGCAAUUUUUGGAAGAUAGAAGAAAAUGAGAAGGGGAAUAUUUUUCACAUGGAAAAGAAGGCACAUCUGUCAGGAAAUAGGGAGUGAAAUGCAAGGGGCUGCCGUACCUUAUCCUUUUGUUCCCCACACCUGCUUGAGAUUGGAAGAUAAAAGAGACGGUGGAACAGAAGAGAGAAAGAAGAAAUACUGUCUUAGUUUUGUUUCUGUUGGUUGAGAUGAAAUGAGUUUCAUGGCUCCAGCUGAAGAUGUUGUAAGCUUUUGGGGUUUA
rnacentral:lncRNA from 1 species